CCUUAGAUAGGGGCACCGGCAGUUUAUCCCCAACUGCAGGCGGGGAGGCGGGAAAGCAGAUUCCCGUUCUCACACACCAGGACCUGGCAGGUGCUUGAACUGCGUGAGGCUAUUGGACUUUGAGUCUGGACUUCCCACUGGCCCCUCCAUUUGACAGCUGAGACCCAGGGAGUAGCGAGCCGCUCCAGGACACGCCAAGGAGCAGGUGCAGAAUUGGAAUUAGAACCCAGGGCUCCCCCUGCCUUGCCCAGUGCCUUCAGGCUGUGCCCUGGGGCAGAGUCCUGACCAUACUCUGCCACUCACCACACCUGCGCUCUGGCCAGUGGACAGGUAGCCUAGUGGGCUCCAGGAAGGUCAUUAGGGCGGGAAAUGGAGACAUGGGCAAGCUUCCGAAGAGGACCAGCAAGCCCCUGGGUAGAGCAGGUUUUGUUAUCACCGUUGUGCAGCUGGAGAGACUGAGGCUCCAAGAGGUGACAUGACUCGACCCGGUCACAUGGCUCAGCAGCAGUUGAAUCCAGGUCUCCUGAUGGUCACACUCCUGCUCAGGCCGUAACCUUGGCGACUUCCUGCUGCCUGUGUCAGGGCCCCUCGGUCUCCAAGGCCUCUGAUGGCUCGCUUUCUGCCCUCUCCUCCCCCGUGUGGACAUGCCCUGCAGACAACAGCCGCUCAGCGCUCCCCGGCACCCCCUCCCAGCUGGCACGGUCUCCCCGGGGCUGCCACUCCUCCUCUGUCGUCCGGUUCACGUUCCCUUGUCUGUAAUUCUGAACUCCAAACGCUCUGAAAACCAGACUUUUAAAAAUAAGCUUGAUAUCAACUGAU